rnacentral:rRNA from 1 species
UUUGGGUGUAAUCUGUUUUGUUGUGUUGUCUAAUGCUUUCUAUUGUGUAAGAGGCUAAACGUGAGAAAAGGAUUAGAGACCCUUGUAUUGAGUAAAGUGAUUUUUAUUUCUCCACGGUUAAAACUGAAAAAGCUUGGCAGCUGACAAAAUUCGUCCGGGGGAGUGUGUGCUUUAAAGAGAUGGUCCACUAAACAAUCAACCGUUCUUAGCUAGGUAGGUGUACAUCCGGUUUAAGAUCCUAAGUUUGUGCUUAGGGUGUGCUGCCUGUGCUGCUCAAGCCAGGUC